GGACCGUGUACAAGUCUCCUGGAAUGGGGCAUCACAGAGGGUGAGAAUCCCGUCUUUGACAUGGACUACCAGUGCUUUUGUGGUAUGCUCUCAAAGAGUCGAGUUGUUUGGGAAUGCAGCUCAAAAUGGGUGGUAAAUGCCAUCUAAAGCUAAAUAUUGGCGAGAGACCGAUAGCGAACAAGUACCGUGAGGGAAAGAUGAAAAGAACUUUGGAAAGAGAGUUAAACAGUACGUGAAAUUGCUGAAAGGGAAACGCUUGAAGUCAGUCGCAUUGAUUUGGAAUCAACCCUGCUUUUGCUGGGUGUACUUCCUUGUCAAUGGGUCAGCAUCAAUUUUGACUGUUGGAUAAAGUUGUUGGGAAUGUGGCAUCUUUGGAUGUGUUAUAGCCCAAUGAUGCAUACAGCAGUUGGGAUUGAGGAACUCAGCACGCUGAAAGGCCGGGUUUCGACCACGUCCGUGCUUAGGAUGCUGGCAUAAUGGCUUUAAUCGACCCGUCUUGAAACACGGACCAAGGAGUCUAACAUGCCUGCGAGUGUUUGGGUGGAAAACCCAUGCGCGCAAUGAAAGUGAAAGUUGAGAUCCCUUUGGGGAGCAUCGACGCCCGGACCAGACCUUUUGUGACGGAUCCGCGGUAGAGCAUGUAUGUUGGGACCCGAAAGAUGGUGAACUAUGCCUGAAUAGGGUGAAGCCAGAGGAAACUCUGGUGGAGGCUGUAGCGAUUCUGACGUGCAAAUCGAUCGCAAAUUUGGAUAGGGGCGAAAGACUAAUNGAACCAUCUAGUAGCUGGUUCCUGCCGAAGUUUCCCUCAGGAUAGCAGAAACUCAUAUCAGAUUUAUGUGGUAAAGCGAAUGAUUAGAGGCNUUGGGGUUGAAACAACCUUAACCUAUUCUCAAACUUUAAAUAUGUAAGACCGAGCUGUCUCUUGACUGGACUGCUCGAUGAUUGAGAGUUUCUAGUGGGCCAUUUUUGGUAAGCAGAACUGGCGAUGCGGGAUGAACCGAACGUGAGGUUAAGGUGCCGGAAUUCACGCUCAUCAGACACCACAAAAGGUGUUAGUUCAUCUAGACAGCAGGACGGUGGCCAUGGAAGUCGGAAUCCGCUAAGGAGUGUGUAACAACUCACCUGCCGAAUGAACUACCCCUNAAAAUGGAUGGC
rnacentral:rRNA from 1 species